CGGCGAGUGAAGCGGCAACAGCUCAAAUUUGAAAUCUGGCCUCGGCCCGAGUUGUAAUUUGCAGAGGAUGCUUCUGGCGCGGUGCCUUCCGAGUUCCCUGGAACGGGACGCCACAGAGGGUGAGAGCCCCGUAUGGUCGGACACCAAGCCUGUGUGAAGCUCCUUCGACGAGUCGAGUAGUUUGGGAAUGCUGCUCUAAAUGGGAGGUAAAUCUCUUCUAAAGCUAAAUACCGGCCAGAGACCGAUAGCGCACAAGUAGAGUGAUCGAAAGAUGAAAAGCACCUUGAAAAGGGGGUUAAAUAGUACGUGAAAUUGUUGAAAGGGAAGCACUUGUGGCCAGACUUGGGCCGGGCGGCUCAUCAGGGGUUCUCCCCUGUGCACUCCGCCCGGCACAGGCCAGCAUCGGUUCUCACGGGGGGAUAAGACCGCCGGGAACGUAGCACCCUCCGGGGUGUGUUAUAGCCCGGCGGACGAUACCCCCGCGGGGACCGAGGUCCGCGCUCCGGCAAGGAUGCUGGCGUAAUGGCCACCAGUGACCCGUCUUGAAACACGGACCAAGGAGUCGUCCAUUAGAGCGAGCGUCUGGGUGUAAAACCCGCACGCGUAAUGAAAGUGAACGCAGGUGAGAGCUUCGGCGCAUCAUCGACCGAUCCUGAUGUUCUCGGAAGGAUUUGAGUAAAGUUUUAACGGACGGACCCGAAAGACAGUGAACUAUGCUUGUAUAGGGUGAAGCCAGAGGAAACUCUGGUGGAGGCUCGCAGCGGUUCUGACGUGCAAAUCGAUCGUCAAAUAUGAGCA
rnacentral:rRNA from 1 species